CAAGCGGGCUGGCUGAGGGUGCGUCCCGUGGCGCUGUGUGAGGCGGGGGUCACCGGCUGGCACUUGCCGGGGACCCUGCAGUGGCGGGUGCAACGUGGAGGACCUCCCCCUUUCUAGGCCCGGCUGGGACAGAGCCCCCCAUUCUCUCGCCAGCAGCCCGCGUGGGGUGCAGGUGUCUGGACGGUUGUCUGUCCAGCCGUCUCUUACUGCAAGAGGUGAAAACUGCCACGGAAAGCUUCCCCUUGAGCCCUGGGCCCCAAGCUUCACCUGCCUGAGGGCCUUGGCGGAGCUCCUGCCCUGCGGGCUCGCAGACGGGGACCCUUGCUGCUCCUGGGUGUCCCUGUCCCCACGAAGGUCCUCCUGUCACCCAGCCCGUGCGCACUUCCCCGGAGGAGGGCCUUCCCACACUCUCUGCCAGAGCACAGGACGCAUUCUGCAAACCAACGACGCACAAAAGGCCCAGAGCCCAAAGCUCUACGGGCAGCGGGCCGGGAGGGGAGGCCCCAGCGUCUCACACGGCGCAGGUGCAGGCAUGGUGCCCCGGCCCCACCCGAGCCCCCUCGCGGUCCGGACAACGGCCCGCUUCCCUGGCCACCCUGGUGUCCGUCGAGGCUGCUGCAGGGCCUGAGGGGGACCCAGACCCAGGCUCUGAGUGGCUGGUUUCCGGGCCUGUCUCGGGCACACACGUUGCAGCCUCUCCGUGAGCCUCAGUUUUCUCAUCUGUAAAAUGGGAAGAGGGCAUGCCCAGGAUUGACGUGAGCCUGAGGGGAAAGACUGGACGCAAGGACACUUGACGGGCCACCAGCUUGCAUCAGCAUGGUAGGCUGCUCCCAUGAGUACCUGGUGGGUAGGCCAGGGCAUUCCCCGGGUAAGCCUCUCCCUUCUGGAGCUUUGCUUCUGGCUCAAAUGAGGAGUUCUGUUUCUGCCCUCCAGUCAGAAAACCGUUUAGGUCCCUUGUGGCUUUUUUUUUUUUUUUAAUUUUUUUUUUUAACGUUUAUUUAUUUUUGAGACAGAGACAGAGCAUGAACGGGGGAGGGGCAGAGAGAGAGGGAGACACAGAAUCGGAAGCAGGCUCCAGGCUCUGAGCUGUCAGCACAGAGCCCGACGCGGGGCUCGAACUCACGAGCCGUGAGAUCAUGACCUGAGCCGAAGUUGGCCGCUUAACCGACUGAGCCACCCAGGUGCCCCCCUGUGGCAUUUCUAACAAGCUUCCCUCAAAGUCUGGUCUGACAGGCGCUCUGGCAUCACAAGUUCAAAGGACUCUGGCAAAGCUGUGUUCCAUGUCUCCUUAGAGCUGCCCGGUGACAUUAGCACAUUGAAGGCUCUGAUAAGUCCUGUAAUAAGGAAGUCGGUAUAAAGUGGAGUUGCCAAGUGUUCCCCGCACUUAUUGGACGGCAGGACCUCUUUUGUGAACAUCUGUGGACAGUACGUGGAAUGAAUGCCUGAAAAUACUGUGCGUCUUCACCCUGGGAGAAGAGGGGGCAAGUCACUUGAAAGGCUACUGGGCCUCACAUCCCCGUCUGCACCUCCCGCUGAGUCCCUCACAGACUUGUCUGUUAGAAGUAGGCUGCACAGAGGAAAGUGACCCGACUCCUGCUUCCGGGUCAAGUGAGAGGCCAUCCCCUUAAGCAUGGAGAGAAUUACGAAACCGUGUCAACCUGCGAGGACAUUUAUCUUCUCGGAGAAAGUCGACGGCCUAAAAAGUCACUUUAAAUGUGGCUGAGGCUGGCUGCCUCCCCUUGGAGUUUCCAUCAGUGACAACUCCCCGGUGGGACAGGAGGCAGGCAGCAGGGCCAGCAGGCUAACUCUGCCCACCAAACCUGGAGUGCCCUGGCCUAGCCUGCGGUCCAGAUUCCCUCCAGUCUGCACAACUCUACACGCUGUUGUGUCUCCCCUGGGUGAUGCUGUGGCCACAGAGCAUGGCACGUGUGUCACAAGAAGCUUGCAGCCCUCCCCCUAUCUUGGGGAAGCCAGGCCCCAAGGCCCAGCCCCACGGGGGUGAAGGGAGGGGAGCCCCUCCUCUGGCUUCACCCCAGCAGGGCCACAUUAUUCAAAGGCCCUUCCUCCAUAAAGCAAAACAAAAUAAAUAUCACAUUUUAUGGCGGCGUUGGUCUAAAGACAAGUAGAUUAAUACUAUAUAUCACAAUUUAUUUUUUAUUUUUUUAAAUUUACACCCAGAUUAGCAUAUAGUGCAACAAUGAUUUCAGGAGUAGAUUCCUUAGUGCCCCUUCCCCAUUUAGUCCACCCCCCCUCCCACAACCCCUCCAGUAACCCUCAGUUUGUUCUCCAUAUUUAGGAGUCUCUUCUGUUUUGUCCCCCUCCCUGUUUUUUACUCGUUUUGUUUCCCUUCCCUUAUGUUCAUCUGUUUUGUCUCUUAAAGUCCUCAUGAGUGAA